rnacentral:rRNA from 1 species
UUUAUUUGAGAGUUUGAUCCUGGCUCAGGAUGAACGCUGGCGGCGUGCCUAACACAUGCAAGUUGAGCGAUUUACUUCGGUAAAGAGCGGCGGACGGGUGAGUAACGCGUGGGUAACCUACCUUGUACACACGGAUAACAUACCGAAAGGUAUGCUAAUACGGGAUAAUAUAUUUGAGAGGCAUCUCUUAAAUAUCAAAGGUGAGCCAGUACAGGAUGGACCCGCGUCUGAUUAGCUAGUUGGUAAGGUAACGGCUUACCAAGGCGACGAUCAGUAGCCGACCUGAGAGGGUGAUCGGCCACAUUGGAACUGAGACA